UGCAUAUAACCUAUGAAUAUCCUUCCAUGCACUUUAAAUUAUCUCUAGAUUAUUUAUAAUACCUAAUACAACAUAGCUAUGUUUAUAGUUGUUGUAUUGGUUUUUAUUUAUAUUAUUUUUAUUGUGUUUUUUUUUUUUGUUUUUUAAAACAUAUGUUCUAUUCCAUGGUUGGAUAAAUCUGUGGAUGCAGACCCUGUGGAUAAGGAGGGCAGACUGGACACUGAAAUGUCAGAAGAGAACACCUAUUAAACUGAUCUAAAGUUCUGAGUGAUUGGAUGAUUGAAAGAUGGAGAUACAAUGAAGAGACAUUCACGUGGAUACUCACAUAUGCAGGGAAAGUGCCCACACAUGUUUGGACUGGAGACAAACUACAAGACUGGAUGUCCCUGAGGAGGGAGACUGGGACUUCUGGCCUAUCCAAAGAUGGCAUGACUCCCCUACACGUUCUCUUUUAGAACUUUGCUCCACCUUCAUCAGGAAAUGGCAUCUAAUUCCCUUUCCCUUAAAUCCAGGAAGGGCUUGUGACUCUCCUGGAACUGACAGAAUACAGCAGAAAUGAGGCAGUGUGACUUACGAGGCUAGGUCCUGAAAGGCAAUGCAGCUUCUGCCUUGUGAACUAUUAUAGAACACACCCAUGGGGCUCUGAGCCACUUAGUGAGAAGUCUGCGGCUGCCAUGCCACGAGGAAGCCCAAGCUACACAGAGGCAUCAUUUGCAGUUGUUGCAGCUAACUGACGGCCCAACUAACAGCAGUACUGACUGCCAGAUCAGCGAAUGAAGACACGCUGAUGGCUCCUGCCCUGGCCAUCGGGUCAUCCCAACCUCUAAGCCUUCCUAUCUGAAGCUGCACUUUGUGUAGCAGAAACAAACACUCCCUAUUGUUCCUGUUCGGGAUUCAUGACUCUCACAAUCUACCAGCUCCAGAUUUCAGAUUCAUGACUCCUGGAAGUAUGGGUGAAUCAGAAGCCCGAAGCACGGUCAGUUGUGUCCAUCUGUGAAAUGUGUUUGGCUUCAUCAGAGCUUGGACAGAAUAUGCAAGCAGUGAAAGAAGAGACGUACCGGGAAGCACAAAAUGAGCAGAACGGUGAAAUAUGAACCAGUGACUAUGGCAGCUACCUGCGCCGGCCACAGGGGUCCCUACAGAGUUGGAAUCCUAUUCCUGCCUUUCGCACAGCUGACGCUCUGGUGUGAUACACAAGACCAAGUGUGAGGAGGUGAGUGAACGGCAACCUCAAGGUCAUCGGAGAUACUGGGAAGCGCAGAUUCUGUGGUGUGGCGGGGAUGAUGGAGACCACACUAGCUUGAGGGAUGAGUGGAAGGUAAGAAUGUAGAAAUGAUGACUGUGUCUAUGACAGACAAUUACAGGUGCUCAGCUGCAGAGGAACACAGGGAUAAGGGACACUGCUCUAAACAGCAGGUGAACUUAAGCAGGUUUAAGUGUGGAUGAACAAAGAACACCAGUGAAGGAGAGACUGAAGACAGGCAUCAAAGGUGUGGUGGGCAGGUGGAAAUCACCUGAGAAGCCAGGAGGGGUGGGGACCAGAGCACAGGUGAAAAAUAAGCUUUCAACAAGGGGUGGUAUUAUAGCUCUUCUACUGUGGGGUUAGAAGGAAGCUAUGGGAGCAAAGAUAGAGAAGUUGAUUGUCCUGGACAUUGAAGAAAUGUAUUAUUCCAAGUUUUCUAUUUUCUCAGGGAAGUGAAGAGUGAGUGGUUUGCUAAGAGUGGGGGAAGAGAGUGUGAGUGGGGAGGGGCAG